AAAAAAAAAGGAAUAAGAAAAAGAACAGAAGAAAGAACAGAGAAAAAAAGAAAAAAGAAAACACUUUUCUAUCAUCCUCUUUAUUAUCACGUUUUGUUACUAAUUUUCUUUUAACAAUCUCCAUACAUCAUCAUCUCUCUAACCAAAAUCUUAUUUUCAAUCCAAAGAAUUCUCAAUUCAAAAAGCCAACACCCUGUGCAGUUUCAUGUACAAACCAUAAACCAGAAACCUGCAAAACUUUUUUCUUCAAACCAUUCAUAUAUACAUACAAAACUAUUAUACCAUAA